GUUCUGUCCUCUUCCCCCAAACUCCUUGGCGCUGGCAAACUCGAUUCCCUUUCUAUUCUGCACCUCAUCCGGUCAUCCCCAUCCUCAUUCCCCUCUCUUCCCUGCAAUUCAUCCCUAAUCACAUCUUCCCGUUCGUGAAGUCUUCGUCUUCUCCAAUAUUUUACCACGGCCCAAACUCCCCGCUCCCAGAUUCACCAUGGAUCCGGUAUGCCCGGGUCGAUGUGGGCAGCCAUUGCAAGAGCCCGUGUUCCGUUGCUUCUGCGGUGAUCCAGCUUGGUCCCUUACCUCUGGAACAGAGCGUAAUCCUGGCCGCAAAUUCUUCAUCUGCCAGAAGGCAUCAGUUGGGAGGGUUUUGUACCGAUGAUUUUAGUCUUGAACUCUUGAUUCACUCCUCUGCUCUCUUUUCCCCUCUUUUUUUUUCAUUUUUCACUGAGCGCAGAUCUUUUUUUUUUGUUUGGUAGGGCUGCAAGCUUUGGAUUUGGGAGGAUGGUCUUUUGAGAUAUGUUGCGGAAAUGGUCGAGUACAGCGCCGCAUCGACGCAUGAUUGUCUCCAUGAGCAGCUUUCGAUUGCCCGUGAAGCUUUGGUCAACUGUAAGGAGAAGCUUGCUAGUGUCUCCGAAGAAGCUGAUGAUUUGGUGCUGAAAGUCCAAGAUUUGGAAGUCAAGUUGCUAGAGUCUCAGGACACCGUGCAUCGUUUGCAUCAGGAUCAGGCAAGCUGGCUGAAGAUUUUUGCCACCUUACUUGUGGUGCUUGCAUUUGUUUCUUGGUGCAUGAUGAACUAUCCUAAGUCUAUAGUUGUCAGGAAGUGAAGAUGGUAUUUGUCAGUAGCUAUCCUGUUUCGGUACCGAAGGAGAAUUGGUACUCUUGUUCCUAUCUCAACUUACGUUCCCAAUCAUACUGAAUUCAAUGGCGACGGCGAAAUCCUUGGACCUGAAGAAGGUGAACCAGACCACAUUGUUCUCAGCGCUGCUGCGACCAUGGCGAUGUCUGUCAACAGUCCUAUUAUGAAUGAAGAUCUCUUUGGCUGCUUGUUAGAAAACAAUGCCACUGACAUGGAAACAGCCUUCCAACACGUGGGGCUGAAUGACAACAACUUGGAUUAUGGAAUUGAUGAUCAUUCUUCUAAUGCAGCAAGUGAUAAUUCUUCUAAUUCAGAAAGUCUUCUGCCUGUAGCAUAUCCUUGCAAUGCAGUUUCAUGCAUUAAUGGUAUGUGCCGAACAAAAAAUUCAAGUAAAUGGUUUUUCUUGAUUAUGAGCUAUUCAUUCGUUCCAACAAACCUUUUUCACUGUAAUGGAGUUCUCCUACAAACUCCCCAAACAUUCACCUUUUUCCUAAUGGAGUUCUCCUACAACCUUUGCCCCCUUAUUCUUAACAGAAACAACUCCCCAAACAUUCACUACAAACAGCUUACCAUUGAUUGCCUUGCAUCCUUUCGCCGCGCAAGGGAGCCCUGAAACAUCUAAACCAGGUUGGUUUAUUUCAGCACCAUCUCAAAAUAAGGAUUAGAUAUGUCACCAACUAAAAGUUUGUACCAGAAAGUUCACCCUAAUACAAUGCUUUAUAUACUGUGCAAUUAACAUAAGUAUGUUCCCAUUCAGGUUCAGAUGUUUUUGGUUUUGGUACUGGCCUACAUAAUGUCAACAGACCUAACGAAUUGAACCUAAACUUGUCUCAAAGUGCAACUGGAUGCAUGGAUGGCCCUGGAAUCGAAGUCCACCACAACCCGGCAUCACCAGAAUUCACCUUGCAUCGUUCUAUCACUGAAAAAUUCAACAUUGUUUGCAUCCCUUGGUAUUUGUCGCGAUACAAAUUCAAGCAACAUGGAAACUGAAUCUUCACUGCUGGUGCAACUAGUCACUGAUGAUAAUGCAUCAGAGGUGGUUGCUAGUCAGGAAUCAUCGCUCAGGGUAGACAUCUCAUCUGAGGUUGCAGAGUUGAAUUGUCAUACACGUGUGGACAGUAAGCAUGACUGGAUGGGAUAGAUGCUUCACAGUUGGUCUUGGCGCUAGUUGCCACAGGAACAACUCUGGUCUUUUUGCCACUCAUUAUGCUCGCGCUUUUGAUGGGCACCAUCUUUUAUGGGAACUUAAGACGCCUGACCACGGAAUAAAUCGUGCCGAGUUACUGUACCAACUCCUUAGCAUGCCAGGAAACUAUGGAGACAUCCCAGAAUUGCUGAUUGACCUGAUGGAAAUUUGAAAGAUGAUGCUUCUGACCAGGACACAAGAGAUCAUGCACAAUGUCUACUUGUUUUGGUAUUUGUGGGAAAGAAAGUAGAAUUGUUUAGUUCUCUUGUUUCAGCACCAUUCUAGUAAGGUUUCCUUUUGGUUCUUUUGAAAUGAACACUGUGUAAGUGUUAAGAACUUUAGCUUCUCCCUGUGAACUAGUUCUACCUUAUCGUUACCAGCAGCUGUGCAACCAGUUGAGACCAUGUAACCUAAAUAGUGCAUCGGUGCUUAGUGCUAUGUCCUUCAAUGCCACUAAGUAAUCUUUUUUUCUGACACUUUUGAAUGUAUUUCUGGUGAUACUCUAAAUUAUCUACUUUAUCUGACUAUUAUAGAAAGUUUCUGUAGUUA